rnacentral:rRNA from 1 species
GACGAACGCUGGCGGCGUGCUUAACACAUGCAAGUCGAACGGUGAAGCCCUUCGUUGGGGGGCUGCUCGGAACGCGAACGGGAGAGUAGGACAACCGUACCCCGCCCUUGGGUUAGCUAUAAGUUCAUGAGACUAGUGCUAAAAGCUGAUCGGAUCUCCUGCGGGAGGGUGGGGGUAGGAAAUUUUGGGCGGGUGGGGCUGGACGCGCGGCUUCUCAGCUUGUUGGUGGGGUAGUGGCUUACCAAGGCUUUGACGGGUAGCCGGCCUGAGAGGGUGACCGGCCACAUUGGGACUGAGAUACGGCCCAGACUCCUACGGGAGGCAGCAGUGGGGAAUAUUGCACAAUGGGCGGAAGCCUGACGCAGCAACGCCGCGUGCGGGAUGACGGCCUUCGGGUUGUAAACCGCUUUCGCCGGUGACGAAGCGUGAGUGACGGUAAUGGGUAAAGAAGCACCGGCCAACUACGUG